GUCGAGCGAGAAGACGUAGCAAUACGUUUGUAAAGCGGCGAACGGGUGAGGAAUACAUGGGUAACCUACCCUCGAGUGGGGAAUAACUAGCCGAAAGGUUAGCUAAUACCGCGUACGCUCCUUGCACUUCGGUUCAGGGAGGAAAGCGAUACCGUGGGUAUCGCGCUCUUGGAUGGGCUCAUGUCCUAUCAGCUUGUUGGUGAGGUAACGGCUCACCAAGGCUUCGACGGGUAGCUGGUCUGAGAGGACGAUCAGCCACACUGGCACUGCGACACGGGCCAGACUCCUACGGGAGGCAGCAGUAAGGAAUAUUGCGCAAUGGGCGAAAGCCUGACGCAGCGACGCCGCGUGGGGGAUGAAGGUCUUCGGAUUGUAAACCCCUUUCGGGAGGGAAGAUGGAACGAGCAAUCGUUCGGACGGUACCUCCAGAAGCAGCCACGGCUAACUUCGUGCCAGCAGCCGCGGUAAUACGAAGGUGGCAAGCGUUAUUCGGAUUUACUGGGCGUACAGGGAGCGUAGGCGGUUCGGUAAGCCCUCUGUGAAAUCUUCAGGCUUAACCUGGAAAAGUCGGAGGGGACUGCUGGGCUAGAGGACGGGAGAGGAGCGCGGAAUUCCCGGUGUAGCGGUGAAAUGCGUAGAGAUCGGGAGGAAGGCCGGUGGCGAAGGCGGCGCUCUGGAACGUUUCUGACGCUGAGGCUCGAAAGCGUGGGGAGCAAACAGGAUUAGAUACCCUGGUAGUCCACGCCUUAAACUAUGAAUACUAAGUGUCGGCGGUUUACCGCC
rnacentral:rRNA from 1 species